ACGGGUGAGUAACACGUUGGAACCUGCCCCAAAGUGAGGAAUAAGCCACCGAAAGGUGGUCUAAUACUUCAUAAUAUCCAUCUCGUAUGGAUUAAAGCUUUAUGCGCUUUGGGAGGGGCCUGCGUAACAUUAGCUUGUUGGUGAGGGUAAAAAGCUCACCAAGGCUUCGAUGUUUAACUGGUUUGAGAGGAUGACCAGUCACACUGGGACUGAGAUACGGCCCAGACUCCUACGGGAGGCAGCAGUAAGGAAUCUUCCACAAUGGGGCAACCCUGAUGGAGCAAUACCGCGUGCAGGAUGAAGCGUUUCGGCGUGUAAACUGCUUUUAUCACCGAAGAUUAUGACUGUAGGUGAAGAAUAAGGACCGGCUAACUACGUG
rnacentral:rRNA from 1 species